rnacentral:lncRNA from 1 species
GAAAAUCCAUCUGUCAAAUAAUGUAUCCCUGCUACCCACAAACUUUAUUUAAAAGAAUCUUGAAAUCAUUGCUUCAAAAACGACUUUAACACAUUCCUCAUUAGCAAACCUGCCAACUACUAUGUCCUGGCACCAAGCAGCGCCUGGCCCCUUCUCCAUCACUUUGGAAGGUGCAGAGACUCCCUGGCCCAUCAGGAACUGGGAGUCCCAGAGAGCCAGUGGAAAUUUAAAUGAAGCCAAAAAGCACGAAGCAAAAGAGGUUCCUGGUGAAUAGUGAAAUGGGUGCACUGCCCCCUUAGAAGAAUGGAGGAUCACCUUAGGUGUGGAAGCCAGAAGGCUUUGAGUGGAGGAUGAGAUCCGAACCACCUGAAUGCUGGCUAAGGUUUUUAGAAGGCAAGAGAGGCCAGUUGACUGCAGUUGCCCUUGGGGUUGAUAAUCCAGUGACCUGAAGCCCCGGGACUUGCAAGCAGGCUAGGGCUGGAAUGGGAAAUGCUGCCUCUGGGCGCGUGGAGGCUGCUGUUUCUGCAGACGGUGAACUCUCCCACUCUUCUCAGUGGCCUGCUUCCCUUUGGCUGGAGACAAUAAGCUCUUUGAAGCUAAAAUAAGCGGAUCUAUUUUAGGCCUUUGUAGCCCACACUGGGCAAUCUCAGGUUCUGUUGAGGUCAGGUGUUUCUCAGACGGCCUCUGACGACCCCUCGGUUCGUUCCUUCCCGAGGGCUGGCACUGUUUUCAGUCACCCGCCGGCUGUGCUCAGAUGUGGAAGAAGGAGGAGUUGCGGAUGAUAGUGCCAUUUCUAAUCUGCUUUGGCGGGUCACAGAAAGUCGAGAGAGCCAAAUGAUGAUUGAGGAGAGGAAGCAGCUCAUCACUGUGAGAGAGGAGGCCUGGAAGACGAGAGGCAGAGGAGCGGCCAACGACUCGACCCAGUUCACUGUGGCUGGCAGGAUGGUGAAGAAAGGUUUGGCGUCACCUACUGCCAUAACCCCAGUAGCCUCAGCCAUUUGCGGUAAAACAAGAGGCACCACACCCGUUUCCAAACCCCUGGAAGAUAUCGAAGCCAGACCAGAUACGCAGUUAGAAUGGGACCUGAAGCUGGACAGGCUGGAAACCUUUCUAAGAAG